UCGAAUUUGAUCGCCUUCCAUACUUCACAAGCUGCGGCUAGUUCAGGACUCCAUUUGCAAGCUGCUCGGAUAAUUUCAUUACCUUCGCGAGCAAGAUCGCGCCCUUCGUUACGAGCUUGUACACAGGCUUCUAAAGCCACUCGAUUAGCUGCUGCACCAGGUGCAUUUCCCCAAGGAUGUCCUAAAGUUCCUCCACCAAAUUGUAAUACAGAAUCGUAA
rnacentral:rRNA from 1 species